UACGGAGGGUGCAAGCGUUGUCCGGAAUCACUGGGCGUAAAGGGCGCGUAGGCGGCUCAUGAAGGCUGUGGUGAAAGUCCGGGGCUCAACCUCGGAUCGGCCGUGGCGACUCGUGGGCUGGAGCACUGUAGAGGCGGGUGGAAUUCCGGGUGUAGCGGUGAAAUGCGUAGAUAUCAGGAGGAACACCUGUGGCGAAAGCGGCUCACUGGACCAUAACUGACGCUGAUGCACGAAAGCUAGGGGAGCAAACAGG
rnacentral:rRNA from 1 species